UUAGUUAAAGCCAAAAAGAGGCCCUUCAUUGUUAAUGAGGAAAUUGAGAGAACUCUAACUAAA
rnacentral:tRNA from 2 species